AUUGAACGCUGGCGGCAUGCCUUACACAUGCAAGUCGAACGGUAACAGGUCUUCGGAUGCUGACGAGUGGCGAACGGGUGAGUAAUACAUCGGAACGUGCCCGAUCGUGGGGGAUAACGGAGCGAAAGCUUUGCUAAUACCGCAUACGAUCUACGGAUGAAAGCCGGGGACCGCAAGGCCUUGCGCGGACGGAGCGGCCGAUGGCAGCUUAGGUAGUUGGUGGGAUAAAAGCUUACCAAGCCGACGAUCUGUAGCUGGUCUGAGAGGACGACCAGCCACACUGGGACUGAGACACGGCCCAGACUCCUACGGGAGGCAGCAGUGGGGAAUUUUGGACAAUGGGCGAAAGCCUGAUCCAGCCAUGCCGCGUGCAGGAUGAAGGCCUUCGGGUUGUAAACUGCUUUUGUACGGAACGAAAAGACUCUUUCUAAUAAAGAGGGUCCAUGACGGUACCGUAAGAAUAAGCACCGGCUAACUACGUG
rnacentral:rRNA from 1 species